rnacentral:rRNA from 1 species
AUUGAACGCUGGCGGCAGGCUUAACACAUGCAAGUCGAGCGGGGGAGGUUGCUUCGGUAACUGACCUAGCGGCGGACGGGUGAGUAAUGCUUAGGAAUCUGCCUAUUAGUGGGGGACAACAUUCCGAAAGGGAUGCUAAUACCGCAUACGCCCUACGGGGGAAAGCAGGGGAUCUUCGGACCUUGCGCUAAUAGAUGAGCCUAAGUCGGAUUAGCUAAGUUGGUGGGGUAAAGGCCUACCAAGGCGACGAUCUGUAGCGGGUCUGGGAGGAUGAUCCGCCACACUGGGACUGAGACACGGCCCAGACUCCUACGGGAGGCAGCAGUGGGGAAUAUUGGACAAUGGGCGGAAGCCUGAUCCAGCCAUGCCGCGUGUGUGAAGAAGGCCUUUUGGUUGUAAAGCACUUUAAGCGAGGAGGAGGCUCUUAAGGUUAAUACCCUUGAUGAGUGGACGUUACUCGCAGAAUAAGCACCGGCUAACUCUGUGCCAGCAGCCGCCGUAAUAC